rnacentral:lncRNA from 1 species
AACAUAAUUUCCAAAAAUACAGCCACGUAGGACGACCACGUCAGUAGCACGACGAGUUAGAAUGCACUGCGCGGCAGACACGCUAACACCAGCUCCACACGAGAGCCACACGGGCGAUCCACGUGCUUGGGUAAUCCAACAGCCCAAAUCACAUCCCGUGCGCACGAACGGCCAAGAUGCGUUUCCUCUUCAGAUGUGAUCAGAUAACUAGAUUCGAUUGUGAUGGACGGUGUAGAUUUGCGCACGUAAUCAGCUUAAAUAGGUAACAAUCGGACGAUUUUUCUCACUCCACGUCGAUACGGACAAAAUGCCAUGAUCGAGGGGAAGAGAGGUAUUUAAACUUCUCUUAACUUGGCCCUAAAAUCUUAGCCGACAACCACUGACCGAAGAAGAAGAAGAAGGAUGGCGGCCAGAGGGAGAUCAGCCAUCGAAAGGACACCAUCGCCACCGCACCAGAGCCACU